rnacentral:misc_RNA from 1 species
CAAGAAGAGACCCUAACCGGUCCUCUCAACCCUGCCCAUCGUACCUUUUUUGUUGUUCCCUCGGCGGCGCCCGCGGGCCCGCCGGCGGGAAGACCAAACAAACCCUUUGCAAACAAGCAUAUCCAAAAUCUCUGAUCAAAACAUGAAUUGUCA